rnacentral:rRNA from 1 species
AUUGAACGCUAGCGGGAUGCUUUACACAUGCAAGUCGAACGGCCGCGCGGACUUCGGUCUGGCGGCGCGUGGCGAACGGGUGAGUAAUGUAUCGGAACGUGCCCAGUAGCGGGGGAUAACUACGCGAAAGCGUAGCUAAUACCGCAUCCGCUCUACGGGGGAAAGCAGGGGAUCGUUAGACCUUGCCCUAUUUGCUCGGCCGAUAUCGGAUUAGCUAGUUGGUGAGGUAACGGCUCACCAAGGCGACGAUCCGUAGCUGGUUUGAGAGGGCGACCAGCCACACUGGGACUGAGACACGGCCCAGACUCCUACGGGAGGCAGCAGUGGGGAAUUUUGGACAAUGGGGGCAACCCUGAUCCAGCCAUCCCGCGUGUGCGAUGAAGGCCUUCGGGUUGUAAAGCACUUUUGGCAGGAAAGAAACGUCGCGGGCUAAUACCCCGUGGAACUGACGGUACCUGCAGAAUAAGCACCGGCUAACUACGUG